rnacentral:rRNA from 1 species
UGAGGAACAUGACCUUCGGCGGGGGAUAGCCGGCCCAACGGCCGGGUAAUACCGCGUACGACCACAUGGGGACAUCCCUGAGUGGUGAAAGCAGCAAUGCGCCGAUGGAGUGCCUCGCGGCCUAUCAGCUAGUUGGUGAGGUAACGGCUCACCAAGGCGACGACGGGUAGCUGGUCUGAUAGGAUGGCCAGCCACAUUGGGACUGAGACACCGGCCCAGACCUUCGUAACCGGGGAGG